rnacentral:rRNA from 1 species
UAAAGCUACAAAGAGCUAAUGGAGAAUGCCUUGGUACUGACAGCCGAUGAAGGACGUGUAAAGCUGCGAUAAGCUUCGGGGAGUUGCUAAAAGACCUUGAUCCGAAGAAAUCCGAAUGGGGAAACCCUGCGAGGUUAAAACCUUGUAAUCCACAGAUAAAUACAUAGUCUGUGCGAAGGAAAGCCUGUGAACUGAAACAUCUUAGUAACAGGACGAAAAGAAAAUAACCAAAUGAUUCCGAUAGUAGCGGCGAGCGAACUCGGAAGAGCCUAAACAGUAUGUACGUGAUAGACUGCAAUUGUUGUGCAUAUUGGGUUGUGGGACUCACAGUAUGAUUUGCAGAUCAUACAAAGAGUUACAAAGUUAAUUAAUAGCUGAAGACAACUGGGAAGUUGCACCAUAGAGGGUGAUAGUCCUUUAAGCGACAUUAAUUAAUCUCUUGUGAGUAUCCCGAGUAAGGCGGGGCACGUGAAACCCUGUCUGAAUCCACCGGGACCAUCCGGCAAGGCUAAAUACUAGUCAGUGACCGAUAGUGAACGAGUACAGUGAUGGAAAGGCGAAAAGAACAGUGAGAAGCUGAGUGAAAUAGACCCUGAAACCGUUAGCUUACAAUCAGUCAGAGCACUAUUAAUAGUGUGAUGGCGUGCCUGUUGAAGAAUGAGCCGGCGAGUUAUCUUAUGUUGCGAGGUUAAGGAGUUAACAUCCGGAGCCAUAGCGAAAGCGAGUUUGAAAAGAGCGUUAAGUAACAUGCGAUAGACCCGAACCUUGGUGAUCUAACCUUGACCAGGAUGAAGCGUGGGUAACACUACGUGGAGGUCCGAACCAACCGAUGUUGAAAAAUCGGUGGAUGAGUUGAGGUUAGGGGUGAAAUGCCAAUCGAACCAAGAGCUAGCUGGUUCUCCCCGAAAUGCGUUUAGGCACAGCGUCAAAUUUAUCUUACAGGAGGUAGAGCACUGGUUUUGUGCGGGCGACGAAAUGUUGUACCAAACAAUGUCAAACUCCGAAUGCCUGUAAUGUUAUUAUUUGGCAGUGAGGCUAUGAGUGAUAAGAUCCAUGGCCAAGAGGGAAACAGCCCAGAACGCCAGUUAAGGUCCCUAAUAUAUGCUAAGUGGUUAAGGAGGUAAAGUUGCUGAGACAACCAGGAGGUUGGCUUAGAAGCAGCCAUUCCUUGAAAGAGUGCGUAAUAGCUCACUGGUCAAGCGACUUCGCGCCGAAAAUACACCGGGACUCAAGCAUAUAACCGAAACUGCGUCAUAUAGUUUACUAUAUGGGUAGGGGAGCGUUCUAUAUUAGGAUGAAGUAAGAUCGAAAGGACUUAUGGACGAGAUAGAAGUGAGAAUGUCGGCAUAAGUAGCGAAAACAUUGGUGAGAAUCCAAUGCACCGAAAACCUAAGGUUUCCCACGGCAGGCUCGUCCGCGUGGGGUUAGUCGGAUCCUAAGCUGAGGCCGAAAGGCGUAGGCGAUGGGCAUCAGGUUGAUAUUCCUGAACUAUCUAAUAAUCGUUAUUAGAAGCGGAGGGACGCAGUAGGAUAUGCAAGCAGCCGAACGGAAGUGGCUGUAAAGAUGUGUAGGUAGAGCAGGUAGGAAAAUCCGCUUGUUCGUUAUAAACUGAGGCAUCGAGUAGGACAUUCUACGGAAUGGAAGUUGCAGAUUCCACACUGCCAAGAAAAACUUCGCUAUCGAGACUAUUAGGUAUCCGUACCGUAAACCGCCACAGGUAGGUUGGUAGAAAAUACUAAGGUGCGCGAGAUAACUCUCGCUAAGGAACUCGGCAAAAUCACCUCGUAACUUCGGGAGAAGAGGUACCCUGGUAGAGUGAAGCGGUUUACCCGUGGAGCUUGAUAGGGUCGCAGUGAAUUGGCCCAUGCGACUGUUUACCAAAAACACAGGUCUCUGCUAAGUCGAUCAAGACGAUGUAUAGGGGCUGACGCCUGCCCGGUGUCGGAAGGUUACGCGGACAUGUUAGACAUUAGUCAAAGCAUAGAAGCUAAGCCCCGAUGAACGGCGGCCGUAACUAUAACGGUCCUAAGGUAGCGAAAUUCCUUGUCAGGUA